UCACAAGAAUUGGGUGGGAGAGAAUCUCUAAAUAACUCUUCCUGAAACCAAGGAGGCAUUUCAUAUUAAAGGCAAGGACUCUUGGAUGCAAGUAACUUAGUACCACUCGAAAGCCUUUUAUGCUUUUCCAAAACUCUUUCUUACGUAUUAUUUAACCCUCACACUCAUAAUGAGAGGCAGGCAGAGGAAAUAUCAUUGCCCUCCUGAGACCGGAAUGGUGUAAAUGGAAAUUGCUGAUGGAGGUAGAAUCGGGCACAAACCAGUCCUCAUCCCCAGCCCCUCGUCCCUCUCCCUUCCCCC
rnacentral:lncRNA from 1 species